rnacentral:rRNA from 1 species
AACGAACGCUGGCGGCAGGCUUAACACAUGCAAGUCGAGCGCCCCGCAAGGGGAGCGGCAGACGGGUGAGUAACGCGUGGGAAUCUACCCAUCUCUACGGAAUAACGCAUGGAAACGUGUGCUAAUACCGUAUUCGUCCUUGGGGAGAAAGAUUUAUCGGAGACGGAUGAGCCCGUGUUGGAUUAGCUAGUUGGUGGGGUAAAGGCCUACCAAGGCGACGAUCCAUAGCUGGUCUGAGAGGAUGAUCAGCCACACUGGGACUGAGACACGGCCCAGACUCCUACGGGAGGCAGCAGUGGAGAAUAUUGGACAAUGGGCGCAAGCCUGAUCCAGCCAUGCCGCGUGAGUGAUGAAGGCCCUAGGGUUGUAAAGCUCUUUCACCGGUGAAGAUAAUGACGGUAACCGGAGAAGAAGCCCCGGCUAACUUCGUGCCAGCCGCCGCCGUAACAC